rnacentral:rRNA from 1 species
GACGAACGCUGGCGGCGUGCCUAAUACAUGCAAGUCGAGCGCAGGAAACCGUCUGAACCCUUCGGGGGGACGACGGCGGAAUGAGCGGCGGACGGGUGAGUAACACGUAAAGAACCUGCCCACGGGUCUGGGAUAACCACGAGAAAUCGGGGCUAAUACCGGACGGGUCAUCGGACCGCAUGGUCCGAGGAUGAAAGGCGCUCCGGCGUCGCCCGUGGAUGGCUUUGCGGUGCAUUAGCUAGUUGGUGGGGUAACGGCCCACCAAGGCGACGAUGCAUAGCCGACCUGAGAGGGUGAUCGGCCACACUGGGACUGAGACACGGCCCAGACUCCUACGGGAGGCAGCAGUAGGGAAUCUUCCACAAUGGACGAAAGUCUGAUGGAGCAACGCCGCGUGAACGAUGAAGGCCCUCGGGUCGUAAAGUUCUGUUGUAAGGGAAGAACAAGUGCCGCAGGCAAUGGCGGCACCUUGACGGUACCUUGCGAGAAAGCCACGGCUAACUACGUGCCAGCCGCCGCGGUAACAC